rnacentral:rRNA from 1 species
CCUACGGGUGGCUGCAGUGGGGAAUAUUGGACAAUGGGGGGAACCCUGAUCCAGCCAUGCCGCGUGUGUGAAGAAGGCCUUAUGGUUGUAAAGCACUUUAAGCGAGGAGGAGGCUACUGAGACUAAUACUCUUGGAUAGUGGACGUUACUCGCAGAAUAAGCACCGGCUAACUCUGUGCCAGCAGCCGCGGUAAUACAGAGGGUGCGAGCGUUAAUCGGAUUUACUGGGCGUAAAGCGUGCGUAGGCGGCUUUUUAAGUCGGAUGUGAAAUCCCC